CACGUAGGGUGCGAGCGUUGUCCGGAAUUAUUGGGCGUAAAGAGCUCGUAGGCGGUGUGUCGCGUCGGCCGUGAAAACCUGCAGCUUAACUGUGGGCUUGCGGUCGAUACGGGCAUCACUGGAGUUCGGCAGGGGAGACUGGAAUUCCCGGUGUAGCGGUGAAAUGCGCAGAUAUCGGGAGGAACACCGGUGGCGAAGGCGGUUCUCUGGGCCUGUACUGACGCUGAGGAGCGAAAGCGUGGGGAGCGAACAGG
rnacentral:rRNA from 1 species